rnacentral:misc_RNA from 1 species
GAUGAAGAACGUAGCGAAAUGCGAUAAGUAAUGUGAAUUGCAGAAUUCAGUGAAUCAUCGAAUCUUUGAACGCACCUUGCGCUCCUUGGUAUUCCGAGGAGCAUGCCUGUUUGAGUGUCAUUAAAUUCUCAACCUCUCUAGUUUUUAUUAACUAGUAGAUGGCUUGGAUUUGGAGGUUUUUUGCAGGCUUUCACAAGUCAGCUCCUCUUAAAUGUAUUAGCCGGUGCCCUCUAACCGUCUAUUGGUGUGAUAAUUAUCUACGCCGUGGACUAUUAGACUUGGUUGCAUUGCUUCUAAUCGUCCUGUAUGGGACAAUAUAUUGACAUUUUGACCUCAAAUCAGGUAGGACUACCCGCUGAACUUAAGCAUAUCAAUAAGCGGAGGA